GACGGGGUUUCACCAUGUUGGCCAGACUGUGUUUAACAAAUGUUUUCUAAGCGAGGAUCCCCUUACUGUGAAAAUUAAUGAUUCACCUUAUUGGGUAUAAAUCCUCAAAAAGUGUUUUCAAGCAAGAAAUUGAUAAUAGAAACUUCAUGAAAGUGAAGGAAAGGGGAUUUAUUUCUCAUUAUGUACCCUUUUAUACCUGUAGAAAUUUGUAACUGGCCAUGAUGUAAAGUUUUUAGUAUGACAAGCCCCAACCAGGUACCCAGAGGUACAAAGUGGCUUUUCUAGCCCACUGCUCUUAUACAUGAGCAGGAACCAAGGGUUAGAUAUUGAGGAGAGACUCUAAUAAGAGUAAUAGAGAUAAAACAAACAGGCCACUCUGCCCAGCUAAAUUUUUUUAUUUUUAGUAGAGACAAGGUCUCGCUAAAGAGGCUACCAGCCUCUUGACAAGGC
rnacentral:lncRNA from 1 species